rnacentral:rRNA from 1 species
AUGCACGCUGGCGGCGUGCCUCAUACAUGCAAGUCGAGCGAACAGACGAGGAGCUUGCUCCUCUGAUGUUAGCGGCGGACGGGUGAGUAACACGUGGAUAACCUACCUAUAAGACUGGGAUAACUUCGGGAAACCGGAGCUAAUACCGGAUAACAUGUUGAACCGCAUGGUUCAACAGUGAAAGACGGUCUUGCUGUCACUUAUAGAUGGAUCCGCGCCGCAUUAGCUAGUUGGUAAGGUAACGGCUUACCAAGGCAACGAUGCGUAGCCGACCUGAGAGGGUGAUCGGCCACACUGGAACUGAGACACGGUCCAGACUCCUACGGGAGGCAGCAGUAGGGAAUCUUCCGCAAUGGGCGAAAGCCUGACGGAGCAACGCCGCGUGAGUGAAGAAGGUCUUCGGAUCGUAAAACUCUGUUAUUAGGGAAGAACAAAUGUGUAAGUAACUAUGCACGUCUUGACGGUACCUAAUCAGAAAGCCACGGCUAACUACGUG